rnacentral:rRNA from 1 species
AGUGAACGCUGGCGGUAGGCCUAACACAUGCAAGUCGAACGGCCGCACAGUAAGCGUUUGCUCCUACGGGUGGCGAGUGGCGGACGGGUGAGGCAUACAUCGCAAUCUAAUUUUUCGUGGGGGACAACGGAGGGAAACUUAUGCUACCACCGCAUAUGAUCUACGGGUGAAAGCAGGAGAUCUUCGGGCCUUGCGCGACUGAAUGAGCCGAUGCCGGAUUAGAUAGUUGGUGGGGUAAGGGCCCACCAAGGCGACGAUACGUAGCCGAUCUGAGAGGAUGAUCGGCCACACUGGAACUGAGACACGGUCCAGACUCCUACGGGAGGCAGCAGUGGGGAAUAUUGGGCAAUGGGCGCAAGCCUGAUCCAGCCAUACCGCGUGGGUGAAGAAGGCCUUCGGAUUGUAAAGCCCUGUUAUCGGGAAAGAAAAACUGUAGGAUAAACCCCCGCUGUUCUGACGGUACCCAAAGAGAAAGCACCGGCUAACUUCGUG